rnacentral:rRNA from 1 species
AUUGAACGCUGGCGGCAGGCCUAACACAUGCAAGUCGACCGAGUGGCGGACGGGUGAGUAAUGUCUGGGAAACUGCCCGAUGGAGGGGGAUAACUACUGGAAACGGUAUCUAAUACCGCAUACCAUCGGAUGUGCCCAGAUGGGAUGAGCUCGUAGGUGGGGUAACGGCUCACCUAGCCGACGAUACCUAGCUGGUCUGAGAGGAUGACCGGCCACACUGUAACUGAGACGCGGUCCAGACUCCUACGUGAGGCAGCAGUGGGGAAUAUUGCACAAUUGGCGCAAGCCUGAUGCAGCCAUGCCGCGGGUAUGAAGAAGGCCUUCGGGUUGUAAAGUACUUUCAGCGAGGAGGCGUUACUCGCAGAAGAAGCACCGGCUAACUCCGUGCCAGCAGCCGCGGUAAUUC